CCUACGUGAGGCAGCAGUAGGGAAUCUUCCACAAUGGGCGAAAGCCUGAUGGAGCAACGCCGCGUGGGUGAAGAAGGUCUUCGGAUCGUAAAACCCUGUUGUUAGAGAUGAAAGCGCGUGAGAGUAACUGUUCAUGUUUCGACGGUAUCUAACCAGAAAGCCACGGCUAACUACGUGCCAGCAGCCGCGGUAAUACGUAGGUGGCAAGCGUUAUCAGGAUUUAUUGGGCGUAAAGGGAACGCAGGCGGUCUUUUAAGUCUGAUGUGAAAGCCUUCGGCUUAACCGGAGUAGUGCAUUGGAAACUGGGAGACUUGAGUGCAGAAGAGGAGAGUGGAACGCCAUGUGUAGCGGUGAAAAGCGUAGAUAUAUGGAAGAACACCAGUGGCGAGAGCGGCUCUCUGGUCUGUAACUGACGCUGAGGUUCGAAAGCGUGGGUAGCAAACAGGAUUAGAGACCCCAGUAGUC
rnacentral:rRNA from 1 species